CCCAAGAGCAGAAGCAGUGAGGUCCAUGAUGGGGAAAAUGAAUCCAGCAGUUCAUCCUAUCCUAUUCCUGCCUGAGUGCAGGAAGAGACCUGAUAGAAAGCCAGAAUGUAUCAGGGCUUGCAGCUCUUUUUAACCAUGUUAAGUCCUAUUCAGAGUUAAUGAUGACCUCAGUGAGACUGAUCUAAGCAAUGCUGAACAAGGGAAGAACAGAGUUGGAAGGCAGGAGCUAUUUCAAAGCAGGAUUCUUCUUCUUUCUGUAACAUCCAAACAUGACGACUUUAUACACUUCAUUAGAUCCUGCCGUCAAUGACUGAGCCUCCCUGAAUUCUUCUUAUCAGUUACUGCCGAGAUGAGAAGCAUAACAGGAAGGAGGAGUGCUGAAGUGGUUUUAAUGGCAGUUAAUUUUGUCUAUUUAUCAAAUGACAGGGUUUUUUUUCCUCAAAACUCGAUUGUCAUGACAAGAUGCUUUUGGAAGUCAUCUUUGUAAAAUAAAACUGUCAAUUUUUAGGCUACAAAGAGCUAUUGUAUCUUUCUAUACAAUGUUGUCAUUAUGGUAAACCGCUGGGAAGUCUUUAUUUU